UGUGUGUGUGUUUGCAGGUGCCACAACACAAGUGUGCAGGUCAGAGAAGAAUUGGUAAGAAUCAUCUUUAGAUCUUUUUCCACCAAGGAAAAGCUAUUUUAUUGGUGGUUGCACAGGGAAAAUGAAAUCCACAAUUAAUCUAUAGAAAGCUCAUUUGAAAUUUUUCAUUCUGUUCUUAAACCUCACAAAUUUGCUCAAAGGAUCAGAAUGGAAGAAGGCAAUGAUGCAUUUGAGGAGAGGGUGUGGUUAAGUCUCAGUGAGCAGGGAGCCCAACCCACUAGCAGUCACUACCUUCCCAUCAUCCUCCGUGACUGGCACGGUGACCUUCAUUUCCUGGAGGACUCUGUCUGAGGUUACAAUCAUGAUCUUGACAUGGUCUACCCUACCACACGUGGUACUGGAGCAAGGAACCAUAUGAAGAUGUGGCCUUCAUCACAUAUCACAAGCAAGAAUGUUGUCCCACUGCUCUGACUCGGGACACCACUAGUCCCAACUUCUGGGUAUCAAAUUUCCUGUAUUCAGUAGAUGAAGCUAAGGCAGAGCCCACUGUCUUAUUGACCAUAAUGGGCCUGCUACUGAUGAGUCCUGCUGUGGUCCAUUGCUCCGUGGAUGCCCAUAGUUCAGGCAUUUACCUAAUGGUGAAACAAAAAGGAAGUGGAAUGGGUUUCAGAACAGAUACAUCAGCUGUCAGGUGGAAUAUCAAUACCACCAUUGCAGAGCAAAGUGGGAUUGCACUACAGUCUAGAGAUGUGUGAGGCAGUUCUUCAAGUCUGAAACCUGCUAGAAACGAAGAGAACAUAGGCAUAUAAGCAAUCUCUCUCUCUCCCCUCUCUCUCUCUCCCCCCUCUCUCCCUCCCUCCCUUCCCCCCCUCUCUCUCCCUCUCUCUUUUUCUCUGCAAUACUGAGGACCAAAUCCAGGACCUCAAGCAUGCUAACUGAGCCCUCUACCCCUGAGCUACAUUUCUAGCCUCCAGGAAUUUUAAAAUAAGACAGAUGCUUGUUUGUAAUCUGCCUCUUCCUAUGAGCUAGCCCAGCUACUUCAGGUCUGCAACACAAUUCUCAUUUCCUACACCAAGAUCUGUGAGUCCAGGGCUGGAGAUGCUCCAGUAGCACAACCUAGCAGUAUUCGUGCACAGUCUUUCUACAGACAUCAGCAGUGAGGUACAAGUACAGAGAGGGUUCAGGUAGAAAUAAGGACGCGGAAGAUCUGACUUGCCUCCAGAAGACAAAUGAAAAAGGUGGAGAUGGACCAAAAAAACAGAAUUACCUUUAAAAAUACUCUUCUAAAAAAUAAUAUUACGAAAUGCAUCACCUGUCAUUGCAUAUGAACAUAAAAGGUAUUACAAAGUUUGGCAUGGGCAAUGCUGAUGAAAUUUCUCAGAGCUGGCCAUUUUUAAAUACAUAAAUAUGCACGUGUACUUUUACAGCAACCGCUUCUGGAAGAGCCAAGACUUCACUGAAGCCCUUGCAGCCAUGUUCCUUUCCAUUCCAGCUGCUUCUAUGCUGCAAAUACCAGGCAUCUCAAGAGCUGCCAUGACUCACCCUGGCCUCCUUUGGAAGCCUGUCCCAGGGCCAUUUCCAUCACCUUGUCCAGAAGGUUGUAAUUGUGACUGCAACCCAGGAAGAGGUGGUUGGCCCAGACCACAGACAGGGGCAGCUGGUCCAGGCGGGUCUAAUGGGUCUCAUAGUCACACAGAUGGAGCACGAUAAAUUAACUCCUUGUAUGGCUUCUUCCUUCGGCUCUCCAAGUAGGAACGGAACUUCUAAGCAAAGAACUGCAAACCAGCUCCUUCACUGCAGUGCCAUUGCUGUUCACCAUGGAUUCUGGUGCCACUGGCACCAAGUGUCAAACCAGUCCCUUCUUUAAGUCUCAAUUCUGUACUUCAAGCUAAAAACUUCCUCACUGUCAGUAACUUUAAUGAGUAUACACUUCAUUUAUUGAUUAAAUGGUACAAAUCUAAGUAGCA